GCCAGACUCCUACGGGAGGCAGCAGUGGGGGAUAUUGCACAAUGGGGGAAACCCUGAUGCAGCGACGCCGCGUGAGUGAAGAAGUAUUUCGGUAUGUAAAGCUCUAUCAGCAGGGAAGAAAAAAGACGGUACCUGACUAAGAAGCCCCGGCUAACUACGUGCCAGCAGCCGCGGUAAUACGUAGGGGGCAAGCGUUAUCCGGAUUUACUGGGUGUAAAGGGAGCGUAGACGGCAAUACAAGUCGGAAGUGAAAUACCCGGGCUUAACCUGGGAACUGCUUUGGAAACUGUAUGGCUGGAGUGCUGGAGAGGUAAGCGGAAUUCCUAGUGUAGCGGUGAAAUGCGUAGAUAUUAGGAGGAACACCAGUGGCGAAGGCGGCUUACUGGACAGUAACUGACGUUGAGGCUCGAAAGCGUGGGGAGCAAACAGGAUUAGAUACCCGUGUAC
rnacentral:rRNA from 1 species